rnacentral:rRNA from 1 species
UGGGGGAUAUUGCACAAUGGGCGAAAGCCUGAUGCAGCGACGCCGCGUGGGGGAUGAAGGCUUUCGGGUUGUAAACCUCUUUCGCUAUCGAACAAGGCCCGCUUAGGGUGGGUUGAGGGUAGGUGGAGAAGAAGCGCCGGCUAACUACGUGCCAGCAGCCGCGGUAAUACGUAGGGCGCGAGCGUUGUCCGGAAUUAUUGGGCGUAAAGGGCUUGUAGGCGGCUUGUUGCGCCUGCUGUGAAAACGCGGGGCUUAACUUCGCGCGUGCAGUGGGUACGGGCAGGCUUGAGUGUGGUAGGGGUGACUGGAAUUCCAGGUGUAGCGGUGGAAUGCGCAGAUAUCUGGAGGAACACCGAUGGCGAAGGCAGGUCACUGGGCCAGUACUGACGCUGAGGAGCGAAAGCAUGGGUAGCGAACAGG